rnacentral:rRNA from 1 species
AUUGAACGCUGGCGGCAGGCUUAACACAUGCAAGUCGAGCGAGCGGCGGACGGGUGAGUAAUGUCUGGGAAACUGCCUGAUGGAGGGGGAUAACUACUGGAAACGGUAGCUAAUACCGCAUACCAUCAGAUGUGCCCAGAUGGGAUUAGCUAGUAGGUGGGGUAAUGGCUCACCUAGGCGACGAUCCCUAGCUGGUCUGAGAGGCUGACCGGCCACACUGGAACUGAGACACGGUCCAGAUUCUUACGGAGGGCAGAAGUGGGGAAUAUUGCACAAUGGGCGCAAGCCUGAUGAAGCCAUGCGGGUGGUGUGAAGAAGUCCUUCGGGUGGUAAAGCACUUUGAGCGAGGAGACGUUACUCGCAGAAGAAGCACCGGCUAACUCCGUGCCAGCAGCCGCGGUAAUA